rnacentral:rRNA from 1 species
AUUGAACGCUGGCGGCAGGCCUAACACAUGCAAGUCGAGCGAGCGGCGGACGGGUGAGUAAUGUCUGGGGACUGCCCGAUAGAGGGGGAUAACUACUGGAAACGGUAGCUAAUACCGCAUACCAUCGGAUAACCCAGAUGGGAUUAGCUCGUAGGUGGGGUACUGGCUCACCUAGGCGACGAUCCCUAGCUGGUCUGAGAGGAUGAUCAGCCCCACUGGGACUGAGACACGGCCCAGACUCCUACUGAUCCAACGUGGACAAAUAUUGCACAAUGGGCGCAAGCCUGAUACAGCCAUGCCGCGUGUAUGAAGAAGACCCUAGGGUUUUAAAGCACUUUCAGUCGGGAGGCGUUACCGACAGAAGAAGCACCGGCUAACUACGUGCCAGCAGCCGCGGUAAUAC